CCUACGGGAGGCUGCAGUGGGGAAUAUUGGGCAAUGGGCGCAAGCCUGACCCAGCAACGCCGCGUGAAGGAAGAAGGCUUUCGGGUUGUAAACUUCUUUUCUCAGGGACGAAGCAAGUGACGGUACCUGAGGAAUAAGCCAAGGCUAACUACGUGCCAGCAGCCGCGGUAAUACGUAGGUGGCAAGCGUUAUACGGAUUUACUGGGUGUAAAGGGCGGGUAGGCGGGAAAGCAAGUCAGAUGUGAAAACCAUGGGCUCAACCUGUGGCCUGCAUUUGAAACUGUUUUUCUUGAGUACUGGAGAGGCAGACGGAAUGCCUAGUGUAGCGGUGAAAUGCGUAGAUAUUAGGAGGAACACCAGUGGCGAAGGCGGUCUGCUGGACAGCAACUGACGCUGAGGCGCGAAAGCGUGGGGAGCAAACAGGAUUAGAUACCCUUGUAGUG
rnacentral:rRNA from 1 species